GACGAACGCUGGCGGCGUGCUUAACACAUGCAAGUCGAGCGGAAAGGCCUCUUCGGGGCUACACGAGCGGCGAACGGGGGAGUAACACGUGUGUGACCUGCCCUCGUCGCGGGGGUUAGCCUCGGGAACUGGGUCUAAUACCGGAUAUGGCCUUUCGUCGCAUGGGGUUUGGUGGAAAGUUUUUUCGGCUUGGGAUGGGCCCGCGUCCUAUCAGCUUGUUGGUGGGGUGAUGGCCUACCAAGGCGACGACGGGUAGCCGGCCUGAGAGGACGACCGGCCACACCGUGAGGGAGACACGGCUGAGAAUCAUACGGGAGGGAGCAGAGGGGUAUAUUGCGCAAGCGGCGGAAGCCAGAAGGAUCGACGCAGUGUAGGGGAGGACGGCCUUGGGGUAGGAAAACUAUUUCGACACCUUCGAAUUUUGACGGUAGCGGUAGAAGAAGCACCGGCUAACUACGUG
rnacentral:rRNA from 1 species